rnacentral:lncRNA from 7 species
ACACACGUUGGGCUUCCAUCUCCCCAGCAAUGCAGCCGUGUCGCCACUGUUGCUGUGCAGCCGGCAGGGACAGGACACGGUGUGGCUGACAGCCCUGGGGAUGAGGACAUCCAGUUCUGAGGGACUUGCGGUCUGCUGGUAAGCAAACACACUGUCUGGCAGUGCUCAGUGGUGUCCUUCUGAAAAACCUUGUGUGCAAUUACAUGGCUCACAGCUACACACAGGUAGAGCCGGGUGAACACCAUUUCUCAUCUAUGUAUUCCAAGAGCAUCAGUGGAGCCCAUCCUCACUGUAUGCCUCCAGCAUGGGAGGGAGAGGAUUAAUUAAAUGGACCUCAGAACGCUGCCUCUGCUUGCCACCCUUCGUAUGUCUGAACUGGAGCCCAUCAGUCAGCCUCUGUUGGUGCCGCUGGAACACCCGGGCAGCGCUCGGGACAUCAGACAAACCUGUGGGAGGGGAAGACAGUUACAGUCUGAUUUUUGGAUGCUUGAGGUGAAGAAACAGGCUCUGCCCGUGCAGUCACAGAUGGGACCUUAUGAGAUACUGGUCAUGAAGUGCCAUCAUGGAAACCUCUGCAAGAAGCUCAAGCUUCAGGAAUCCUAAGCAUCACCGGUCCAAACAAAUUUUGAACUUUCAAGCUGGGAAGGGAGAAAGCAUUUUCUUCUUGAUUUUACUCCAGCUAAAGCACAUUGGGCUGAUCCCGCUUUUGACAGUGCGAGUACUGAAGUCAGUCCUGCAUCACCACCAGUUCACAGACUGGAAAAGUGGAGAAACACCUGCUUGCUGCAGAGGAUCUGCUAAGGAAGUCCAAAGGGAAACUAUGCACAGAGGGGAAGAGCACAGGCCAAGUGAAACAGAACCAUGUGGGUCAUCGUUAUGCUGUUCCAGUGAUCCAAGGCGCUGUUUAAACAGCGAUGCUAUUACAGAUUUACUUAGCUGGUUUCUUUCUGAGUGCACCAGAACCCUGAUCCUUGCAACAAAGAAUGCCAAACAAAGCAGCAUUAGGCAAGUUACUGUGAAACGAAGGCAUAUUUGCACAGCAAUAGAAAGAUCUAAAUGGGACCAUAACGAGCAACCAAAUAGUAACGAAGUUGAGGGCAUUGCUUUGUAGGAAACAAGUGGCUAUUCUGAACCCUGAAGUGCCAAAUGUACUGAAUCACAAGAGCUCACUAAAAUGAGAGCAAACAUCUCAAUCCCUUCUGAGUAUGUACAAAUAUCAAAGCGAUUUGGGGCUGUUAACCUCCUCAGCUCGGUGACGGUAUCUUCACCAUCAGCGCACAGCACUUCCCUGUUCACAAACUGUCCGUAUAAUGGUUCGGUUUGACUGCAGCGCAAUGCAUGACUGAGGGGACGUUAAUAUCGAACAACUCUGAGUAGCUCAGCACCAAGGAUGAUUUAAAUAAAACAGAAAGUAAAGGAAGCAACACUACCCUUUGUAUCUGACAAUGUAGAGGGCGAAGUCGUGCCCAAAAUAUUUGGAUUUUUGUUUUCACAUGGAUUCCAUUGCUCCCACCUUCCUAAAGAGCCGAACAGUUUUAAGUGUACUUCCUUUGUUUCUGCUGCUCUGUCCUCUCUAGUUCCAAAGCUACAGCUGAAGUGCAUCCAUUCCCCCUCCCCUGCUCUGGCAUCCCAGCAGGACGGCAGCCAGGUCUCCUGCCUGUAUGCCUCACCGUGUCAGCUCAAUUCCUCCCCCUAGAAACUGCCUUCCAGUUUGCUGAAUGUUCGGGGACACAGAUAAAUUGUAAAGUGGUCAUGGAAAUAUAAGAAGCAAAGAUAUCUUUCUUUCCAGAUUAGAUAAUUAUCCACUGAGAGAGGAAAUAGCAACAACAAAACGGCUUCAAAUUCUUCUGAACAUAAUUGAGUCUUUUAAGAAAUACCCCAACACCUAAACAGCCAUUUCUUUACUUGGAGGAGGGGAAAAUGCCAUAAAGCUUAAGGAGCAUUUUGUUCGGGAAAUCACAUCUUUCCCUAUUUUGCAGCUGACACAUUGCAUUGCAGAUCUGUCACAGCACAUUACCUCGGUGAUGUAACGUAACGCAACACUGCUGAUGCGACCCAAUCCGAUGUGUCCAACGUGAUACAUCAGCUACAAUAUUUGAAAAGCUUUCUUUCUGAAAACAACCUGUAUAGAAGGGACUCCUCUUUACCAAUUAAAAAAAAAAAAGCCUUCCCAAAGAAUUGCAUCACCGGGAGAUAAUUGCUUUUUCACAGGUAAUUAGCAAAUACAAUUAGUUGUGGGAAAAGUUUGCUUUUCAGCAAUUCAC